CAGUCGCCGCGGGAAUACGUAGGGUGCAAGCGUUAAUCGGAAUUACUGGGCGUAAAGCGUGCGCAGGCGGUUAUAUAAGACAGAUGUGAAAUCCCCGGGCUCAACCUGGGAACUGCAUUUGUGACUGUAUAGCUAGAGUACGGCAGAGGGGGAUGGAAUUCCGCGUGUAGCAGUGAAAUGCGUAGAUAUGCGGAGGAACACCGAUGGCGAAGGCAAUCCCCUGGGCCUGUACUGACGCUCAUGCACGAAAGCGUGGGGAGCAAACAGGAUUAGAUACCCGAGUAGUCCCUGUCUCUUAUAU
rnacentral:rRNA from 1 species